rnacentral:rRNA from 1 species
GACGUAGGGCGCGAGCGUUGUCCGGAUUUAUUGGGCGUAAAGAGCUCGUAGGCGGCUUGUCGCGUCGAAUGUGAAAACUCGGGGCUCAACUCCGAGCUUGCAUUCGAUACGGGCAGGCUAGAGUUCGGUAGGGGAGACUGGAAUUCCUGGUGUAGCGGUGAAAUGCGCAGAUAUCAGGAGGAACACCGGUGGCGAAGGCGGGUCUCUGGGCCGAUACUGACGCUGAGGAGCGAAAGCGUGGGGAACGAACAGG